rnacentral:rRNA from 1 species
GACGAACGCUGGCGGCGUGCUUAACACAUGCAAGUCGAGCGGUAAGGCCCUUUCGGGGGUACACGAGCGGCGAACGGGUGAGUAACACGUGGGUGACCUGCCCUCAGCUCUGGGAUAAGCCUGGGAAACUGGGUCUAAUACCGGAUAUGACUUCGCAUCGCAUGGUGUGGGGUGGAAAGUUUUUCGGCUGGGGAUGGGCCCGCGGCCUAUCAGCUUGUUGGUGGGGUGAUGGCCUACCAAGGCGACGACGGGUAGCCGGCCUGAGAGGGCGACCGGCCACACUGGGACUGAGACACGGCCCAGACUCCUACGGGAGGCAGCAGUGGGGAAUCUUGCGCAAUGGGCGAAAGCCUGACGCAGCGACGCCGCGUGAGGGAUGAC